GCGCCCGUAGCUCAAUUGGAUAGAGCGCUUGACUACGGAUCAGGAGGUUAGGGGUUCAACUCCUCUCGGGCGCACCA
rnacentral:tRNA from 1 species